rnacentral:rRNA from 1 species
UACGGGGGGGCAAGCGUUGUUCGGAAUUACUGGGCGUAAAGGGCUCGUAGGCGGCCAACUAAGUCAUACGUGAAAUCCCUCGGCUUAACCGGGGAACUGCGUCUGAUACUGGAUGGCUUGAGUUCGGGAGAGGGAUGCGGAAUUCCAGGUGUAGCGGUGAAAUGCGUAGAUAUCAGGAGGAACACCGGUGGCGAAGGCGGGUCUCUGGGCCGAUACUGACGCUGAGGAGCGAAAGCGUGGGGAGCGAACAGG